AGCAGGAGCAGGUUGUUUCUCUAAAAUAGAUCUGAGAUCCGGAUAUCAUCAGUUGAGAAUCAGAGAGGAAGAUGUGCCGAAGACGACGUUCAGGACCAGAUAUGGGCAUUAUGUGUUCCUAGUGAUGCCAUUCGGGCUAACCAAUGCCCUUGUAGCAUUCAUGGACCUUAUGAACAGAGUUUUUAGCUAGUAUCUGGACCACUUUGUUAUUGUCUUCUUUGAUGAUAUCUUAGUGUAUUCCAAAAAUGCAAAUGAGCAUGCCAUCAUCUGAGGAUAGUUUUGCAGACCCUGAAGGAGCAUGGCUUGUAUGCCAAGUUCUCCAAAUGUGAGUUCUGGUUGAGGAGCAUUUCUUUCUUGGGACAUGUUGUGUUAGAAAAAGGAAUUGAAGUGGAUCCCAAGAAGGUAGAAGCCGUAGCUAACUGGCCUAGACCCACUACAGUUACAGAGAUCAAAAGCUUUUUGGGUUUGGCAGGUUACUACAGGAGGUUCGUCCAGGACUUCUCAAAAAUUGCCGCUCCUAUGACCAGGCUGACCAAAAAGAAUCAGAGGUUUGUUUGGUCAGAUCACUAUGAGGAAAGUUUUGAAGAGCUGAAGAAAAGGUUAACGUCGGCACCGGUGCUAUGCCUACUAGUGAUGAAGAUUUCACAGUGUUUUGUGAUACAUCCCGUGUGGGACUAGGUUGCGUGUUGAUGCAGAAUGAGAGGGUAAUUGCUUAUGCUUCUAGGCAGCUGAAGAAGUAUGAAUUGAAUUAUCCUACACAUAUCUAGAGAUGGCAGCUGUGAUCUUUGCACUUAAGAUGUGGAGGAAUUACCUGUAUGGGGCAAGAUGUGAGAUCUUUACAGAUCAUAAGAGUUUGCAAUACAUCUUGAGUCAGAGAGAGUUGAACUUGAGGCAGAGGAGAUGGGUAGAACUGCUUAGUGACUAUGAUUGCAAAAUUCAGUACCAUCCGGGUAAGGUAAAUGUUGUGGCAGAUGCCCUAAGCCGGAAAUCAUUUGGCAGUUUAUCCCAUGUUACAGUAGAGAGAAGACCGGUGGUGAGAAAAUUCAUUAAUGAAGGGCUGCAGUUGGAGCUGUCUGGUACAGGUGCUUUGAUAGCUCAGAUGAGAGUGACACCCGUAUUUCUGGAGCAGGUGGUUCAGAAACAGCACGAGGACCCUGAGUUGGUGAAGAUAGCCAGAGCAGUUCAAGCAUGCAAGAAUGAUGAGUUCAGAUUUGACAACAAAUGGAUCCUCCGUUACGGGAACAGGUUAUGUAUACCAAAUGACGUGAGUUUGAAGAGGGACAUUAUGAGAGAAGCUCAUAAUGCCAGAUACAGCGUUCGCCCUGGAGCCACCAAGAUGUAUCAAGAUCUGAAAAGAGUCUAUUGGUGGCCAGCUAUGAAAAGAGAAGUGGCACAGUUCGUGUCCGCCUGUGAAAUAUGUCAGAGGGUAAAGCUGGAACAUCAGAAGCUGGCUGGAAUGCUUAACCCACUGCCGAUUCCAGAGUAGAAAUGGGAGAAUAUAGCUAUGGAUUUCAUGGUGGGGUUACCGGCAACGUCUAACAGACUAGAUUCCAUAUGGGUGAUUGUGGACAGACUGACCAAAUCUGCUCACUUCAUCCCUGUCAGGAGUGGCUAUUCUGUGGACAAAUUGGCGCAAGUGUAUGUGGAAGAGCUUGUGAGGUUGCAUGGGGCUCCAGAUUCAAUUGUUUCAGAUAGGGGACCCCAGUUCACCUCUAGGUUUUGGCGCAGUCUGCAAAAUGCUAUGGGCACAAGACUAGACUUUAGCACUGCUUUCCAUCCUCAGACUGACGGACAGUCAGAGAGGACCAUCCAGACUAUAGAAGAUAUGCUCAGAAUGUGUGUGCUAGAUUUUGGCGGUUCUUGGAGGCAACAUCUGUAAUACCCGGCUAGACGCCGGCAUUGGAAUUCUUCUUUUUGGCGGAUUUUCCGUUGGAAUCUAGAAUUCGAGGAUGUCAGAGGCUUCUAGAAGGGAUAAAAGAUUAUUUUUUCAAAAUGUUUUAAGUGUUUCUAUGGUCAUGAGUGAACGGAAGUGGAUUGUGGAGAAGGAAAAGACCAAGGGGACACAAUGCAAGUUCGGCCGCCGAAGGGCAAGUUCGGCCGCCGAACAUUGCAGGGUUUCGCCCGCCGAAGGGCAAGUUCGGAUCUGGAGGGACCUUCGGCCGCCGAACCUGCCGCCGAAAGUCCCCUGCCCAGCCUUCCUUUGCCUAUUUUGCAUGCAUGUUUUAUGAUGUUUUAGGGGGUUUUUGGAGUGAUGUUUAGAGUCAUGUUAGAGUAUGUUUGGUCCCUCAUUUGAGUCCACCUGUGUAGGAUCGGACCUAAGGAACCGAGGUGACCAGCAGUGAGAUAGCUGAUUCAGAGUCAGUUGAGUAUCAGCCAGAGGUGAGUAGAACACAAUUCUUUUAUUUCAAAGCAAUUAAACUUUUAAGCAUGUUCAUGCAUCAUGAAUGCCAUGUACGUAAUAGGUUGUAUUGCAUUAGAAUUCACGAAUAUGACGCAUUGCAUAAUAUGAUGUUGAUGUGGAUGGAUGUUGGAUGACCCAUUGGCCCUUGAUAUGAUAUAAUAUGGUAUGGAAGUCCAGAUCGAGGCCCAUUCUAUGCUCCUGGCACAGUUGGAUAUGUUAUGUUAUGAUAUGUUAAGCGAAAGUUCUGAGGAGCUUCCGUUGUGGGCCGGACACAUUGGAUUAUGUAGAGGGCCAUUGGUGACAAGUCCAUCCUUGAUGUGAAUUGUUUGUGAUGUGAUGCAUUUCAUGAAAGCAUAUGUUUAAUGAACUGUUUUUACUGUUCUGCUCACUGGGUUUUAGUAGCUCACCCCUUUCCCCUAAUCCCCAGGUUUGCAGGGCCAGAGAUAGCUUAGGAAGUCAGCAAGAGUAAGGGUUAUGUUUAUGUAAUAGAUUAGUAGUGGACAUGUAAUGUAAAAUAACGUAACGUAAUGUAAAGUAGAGUGAUAUUUUAUGGAUUAGUAUUGUGCUUGGCCCUAACAUUAGUGGAAAUCCCUUUUUACAUGAUCUGUAUGUAAUGUUUUUAAUGAUGUUAUCUGAUGAACCAAGCUUGAUAUAUGAAAUGUGGACCCAACUAGAGCAUUUGAUGAGGGCUCUAGUAUGGGAUUUUAUGGUUACAGUUAUGGUGCAUGCACAGGUCAAGCUUGAUAUAUGAAAAGUUUAAAAUUUUUAUGAAAAUGUAUGAUCAUGUAUGGGAUUUAUCAGGUAUGACAGGAUGUAUAUUAGACUUGCUACGGGUUCCGGCGACCUUAAGUCGAUCUGAAUCCUAGCGCCGGUAGCGGUCCGGUUUCCGGGUCGUUACACCCAAAGCCCAUUAAUAUAAUUAAUAAUAAUAAAGUGUUAUUAUUAUUAAUAUUAAUAUAAUUAAUAAUAAAAAAGUGUUAUUAUUAUUAAUAUUAAUUAAUAAUAAUAAAGUGUUAUUAUUAUUAAUUAUUUAUUAUUAUGAGAUAAUAAUAUUUAAAAGAUCCGCAGUCUAUCUGUAACUGUUACAGAUAAAGGACUCUAUCACAUAAGAUAUUUGAGUAUCUGUGAGAUUGUGAUAGUGGGUUAUGAACACAACUCCUUUUAGGAAAAGGAGUUGUGGGAAAAACAAAAGACUGAAACAUAUAAAUACUCCUUCUAUGAAUUGAGGAAUGAUGAUGUUAAUUUUUGAGAAAAAUUCAGUCUAACUAUUGCAGAUUGUGGAGCACAUAAUCUAUCCAUCUUUGAGAGAGCUAGCACUCUAGAAGGAUAGAAGAUGUUCGUGUGGAUACCAUAGAGGGUGUUCGUUUGAAAAAGCAGCACCAUCAGUCCGGCAUUGUAUCUUCUUGACGAGAUUAACAGGUUAGUCUCAUAUCCUUCUUAUGAAAUAAACGAAGCACUCGGAUUCUGGGAAAAAGGAAUCAGAGAAAUUUUAUUUUUCUGCUGCGCCUUUGGGUUCCAAUAAUCUCUGGAUUUCCCAACAGUAUAGCUAUGUCUACCUUACGAAACAUAAACAUGAAUCACUUGAAAUGUUUAGAACUUUUCAAAAUAAAGUACAAAAUCAACUUGGUAAAACUAUUAAAAUGCUUCGAUUUGAUCGAGGUGGUGAAUAUUUGAGCCAAGAGUUUGAUGAACAUCUUAGAAAUUGUGGAAUUGUUUCACAAUUAACUCCUUCAGGAACUCCACAAUGGAAUGGUGUUUCUGAAAGGAGAAAUCGAACUUUAUUAGAUAUGGUUCGAUCUAUGAUGAGUCAAACAAAUCUGCCUUUAUCAUUUUGGGGUUAUGCCUUGGAAACAGCUGCAUUCAUUUUAAACCGAGUACCAUCGAAAGCAGUUGAAAAGACACCAUAUGAGUUAUGGACUGGCAAAAUGCCCAGUUUGUCUUUUCUUAAGAUUUAGGGUUGUGAGGUGAUAGAGCAUAUUUUAGUCCAUAUUAUCAUGAUUUUAUUGAUGUUUAUUUACACAUUUCCUACCUAAUUUUGUGGUUUUAAUCAUGUUUUGAAGAUAUUAGGUGUAAAGAGACAUUAUGGAGAAAAUGCUCUUAAAAUUGCCAAAAAGUGCCAAAACUGGAAAAAUCACCUUCGGAAGCACUUUCGGAAGCCGAAAGUCUCGUCCAGAGCCGAAAGUCACCCACCUUCGGAAGCACUUUCGGAAGCCGAAAGUCUCGUCCAGAGCCGAAAGUCACCCAUCUUCGGCAGCACCUUCGGGGUGCCGAAAGUUUGCUCCAGAGCCGAAAGUCCAUCCUCUGAAACUAAGCUUAGGCGGCCGAAAGUCCCCCCGAAUUGCUUCUUCCUUAUUCAAGAAGCCAAAUCUUGGAGAUCACAUGUUUUCCACUUCAUGCCAUGCACAUUCAAAAUUCAAAAGGAGACUCCACCUUCCUCUUUAGUGCAUGGGUGGCAACAAUAAUGUGAAGGAAACUUCUUGGACACACUUGGGCAACAAUUAAAAGACCAAAAAGUCCUUGCAACACACAUAGAAGGCACAUAUAAGACCAAGGGCAUUUUGGACAGCCUCUAAAAGUUGCAUGGACACCUAAGAAACCCUAGGCAAUCUCCCAAGACCUAUUUAAAGGUCUCAUGAAGACAAGAAGUGGCAGACUUGAAGAACUAAAACACCACCAAGGUUCGGCAGCCGCUCCUCCUCCACCUUCGGCCACUGGUUCCUCCUUCCUUCUUCUCUUCUUCUAUUUUCUGUUUUGGUUCAGCCAUGAGUGGCUGAAACCCUUAAUUCUAGUUGAAGUUUGGUUGAAACUAAGGUUGUUUAAAGGGUUGUGAGAUCUGAACAUAAAGUGUUUGCUUUUGAUUAGUUCAAUAUUCAUACAAUUGUGUGCUUAAUUCUAAGAUUGCUUUGUUGUUUUGAUCAAAUUGGCCACUUGAUUCUUGAUUACAAAGUUAAUUGAUUGUUAGUUGGGAUAUUUGUUAGUCCGUAAUUGCUGGAAAUAUUCUGACCAAAGAACACUUGGUGUAAAAACUAAGGAAUUGUAUGAUCUAGCAACAUCUCAUGCGUUUGAGUAGCUAGGGUUGGAUCUCUCUCAUUCUUUAUGCAAUUGACAAUUGUUUUGAUGCCUAAGGCCCAAGGACAUUCCUUGGCAAUUUGUUAAUUAGUAAUUGAUUAGAGGACGUUCCCUAAUUGAUUUAAUCAUAAGGAGAGACAUGGUGGUGAGAAGCGUUUUCCACACCCAUAACUAAUCUAUUGAACCAAUCAGGGAACAUAAGUUUCAAUUAUCAACCCAAACAACCAAAGUGGAUCCAUAUCUUCAACUAGACUUUUCGCAUAUUGAUUUCCUCUUUUAUUUUGAUUACUUACUGUUUUAAUUGCUUUCAAUAGUUAUUAGUCAAAUCAAUCUAAAAACCCCCCUUUUUACUUUAUUGCACUUUACUUUUAUUCUGCUUUCAGUUACUUGCUUUCAGUUGUGCUUUCAAAUGAUUCUCUUGAUCUUGUUGAAGAAAUAGACAAGUACUCAAUUCUCUAUGGAUUCUGUAACGACCCGGAAUCCGGACCGCUACUGGCGCUAGGAUCCAGAUCGGCUUAAGGACACCGGGACCCGUAGCCAGCCUAACAUACAUCCUGUAUAGCUGUAUAAUCCCAUACAUGAUCGACAAUUACAUAAAAAAUUUAAAACUUUCUCAUUUAAUCAUUCAUUCAUUCACCAAGCUUAACCUGAGCAUGCACAAUUCAUAACAUAAAACCUCUCACUGGAGUCCUCAUCAAAUACUCCAAUGGGGUAACAUAACAUACAUUAAGCUUGGUUUACAAUAAUCAUCAACAAACAUUUAAGAUCAUGUACAAAAAGGGGAUUAACAAUAUACUAUGGUCAAGCACAACUCUAACUUCAAUAAGCAUCAUUACAUUACAUUUCUAUACUAUACUUUUACAUUACAUCAUAUUCAUGUCCACAUCUAGCUAUUACAUAAAACAUGAUUCUACUCCUGCUGACCUCCUGGUCUACCCUGUACCUGCAAACCUGGGGGGUUAAGGGAGAGGGGUGAGCUAUAAAGCCCAGUGAGCAGAAUAAAUAAACAUUCAAUUUAAAUUUCAUUCUUUCAUGAAAUGCAACACAUCACAAACAAAUCACAUCAAGGAUGAACUUGUCACCAAUAGCCCACUACACAUUCCAAUAGUGCUAGGGGCGUAGACUAGGCCUCACUGGUCUUUCUCUUACAUUACAUAACAUAACAUUCCAAUAUGCCAGGGGCGUAGAAUGGGCCUCACUGGUCUUUCUCUUACAUAGUGCCAGGGGCGUAGAAUGGGCCUCACUGGUCUUCCAUACCAUACCAUAUCAUAUCAUAGUGCGGGCUAAAGGAUCAUCCAACAUUCAUCCACAUUAGCAACAUAAUAUGUAAUGCAACAUAUUCGUGAGUUCUAAUGCAAGCACCCUAGUAUAUCUCAUGGCAUUCAUGAUGCGUAAAUCAUGUUAAGAACUGAUUUAUUUGCUUAAAAGCCUAAAGAGUUAUUCCACUCACCUCUGGCUGAAGCUCUAAUGACUCUGAAGCAGCUAUCUCACUGCUGAGGUCCUUGGUUCCUCGGGUCCGAACCUACACAGGUGGACUCAAAUGAGGUACCAAAUAAAGACUAACAUAACUCUGAAUUGCUCCCCAAAAACCCCCUAAAACAUCUUAGAACAACCAUAGAAAUCAUGCAAAGAAAGGCUGAACAGGGCACUUUCGGCGGCAGGUUCGGCGGCCGAAAGUCCCUCCAGAGCCGAAACUCAGCCACUUUCGGUAUUGAACUUGUCCCUUCCUAAGGAACCUGCCCGAUUAGAACUAUUCCCGAAACUCCAAUUCUUUCGCUCGACCCCUCCAGUUGAGAAGUUGGGCCGAGUCGCUCCCCCACUUUGUGGCUUAUUCCACUUGUUAGGUCGGCUAUCCUGGGAACCAGACGAAUCAAUUUUUCUUUUUGAAGAUGGAGGGGCAUAAUCAUUUAGACUUUCCGCUGCUGCAAUGGCUGCGUCCACACUCUUGACUUUUUGCCUCAUCAAGCUAGUCGGCCCCAAGGUUUCAAAUGUGGUAUCAGAGCCAAGGUGGGCUUCCGCAUGGCAUGGUUGCCAUCCCGCCUGAAGAUCCUGGAAGAACAGAGGAGAAGAGGAGUUGUCUUUCCUGGUGUGGAGAACCAGCAGAGUGACUGCGCGUAGUUGAGUUGAGCUUCCUUGGUGGAGGGGAGCAAGGAUUGAUGCUGCGCGUACUGAGGUGCUAUAUCGGACUCACUAGGUGAAGGUGGUGUCCAGAGCAAGUAUUGCGGGGCAACUGAGUGAGCGAGGAUAGGGGUCCUCGGGUGCCUCAACGGGUGGGGCAAGGCAAGGUGAAGCCUGCGUUCCGACGGGAUAGGGACGUCCCCAUUGGCUCGUUGCGCUCGUAGCUUGGGUGAAAAAGCGUCACUUCGGAGAAACAAUGCUGGAAUCAAGUACUUAAUUGAAGGCAUGCUCGAGGGCGAGCAUGGAUUGAGUGGGGGAGAU
rnacentral:lncRNA from 1 species